rnacentral:lncRNA from 1 species
UUCAGGUGUGGGGGGGUUUUUCCUUUCAUGUUUCAUUUCGUUGUCAUUUUGUUCAUGUUUUCCUUCAUCGUUUUUGGUUUUCGUUUUUGCUUUCGUUUUUUGUGUGGUUUACUUGUGUGUACAGAGUGAUGAGAAAUGGUUGGACGAAUCCGGGAUCAAUGGUAGUGGAUGAAAGACACCCCUCAUACUUAUUCUGAUAAGGUACCCCGGAAGUUGAUGCAACCAUGAGAAAGUAAAGUCGGACACAAUUUGGUGACACUGGACCAAGAGAGCGGUAUGGAAAGAC